rnacentral:rRNA from 1 species
CGACCUCUGAUCGGAAAAGAUCACCCGCUGAGUUUAAGCAUAUCACUAAGCGGAGGAAAAGAAACUAACGAGGAUUUCCCUAGUAACGGCGAGCGAACCGGAAAGAGCCCAGCUUGGAAAAUCUU